UUGAGCUUGAUCCCUGGCUCAGAUUGGAACGCUGGCGGCAGGCCUAACACAUGCAAGUCGAGCGGAUGACAGGAGCUUGCUCCUGAAUUCAGCGGCGGACGGGUGAGUAAUGCCUAGGAAUCUGCCUGGUAGUGGGGGACAACGUUUCGAAAGGAACGCUAAUACCGCAUACGUCCUACGGGAGAAAGCAGGGGACCUUCGGGCCUUGCGCUAUCAGAUGAGCCUAGGUCGGAUUAGCUAGUUGGUGAGGUAAUGGCUCACCAAGGCGACGAUCCGUAACUGGUCUGAGAGGAUGAUCAGUCACACUGGAACUGAGACACGGUCCAGACUCCUACGGGAGGCAGCAGUGGGGAAUAUUGGACAAUGGGCGAAAGCCUGAUCCAGCCAUGCCGCGUGUGUGAAGAAGGUCUUCGGAUUGUAAAGCACUUUAAGUUGGGAGGAAGGGCAUUAACAUUAAUACUUUAGUGUUUGACGUUACCGACAGAAUAAGCACCGGCUAA
rnacentral:rRNA from 1 species